UGGCAUGAACACAGGUGCUCAGAUAUCUUUUU
rnacentral:piRNA from 1 species